GGGAGCGUUCUGUAAGCCUGUGAAGGUGGCCUGUGAGGGUUGCUGGAGGUAUCAGAAGUGCGAAUGCUGACAUAAGUAACGAUAAAGCGGGUGAAAAGCCCGCUCGCCGGAAGACCAAGGGUUCCUGUCCAACGUUAAUCGGGGCAGGGUGAGUCGACCCCUAAGGCGAGGCCGAAAGGCGUAGUCGAUGGGAAACAGGUUAAUAUUCCUGUACUUGGUGUUACUGCGAAGGGGGGACGGAGAAGGCUAUGUUGGCCGGGCGACGGUUGUCCCGGUUUAAGCGUGUAGGCUGGUUUUCCAGGCAAAUCCGGAAAAUCAAGGCUGAGGCGUGAUGACGAGGCACUACGGUGCUGAAGCGACAAAUGCCCUGCUUCCAGGAAAAGCCUCUAAGCAUCAGGUAACAUCAAAUCGUACCCCAAACCGACACAGGUGGUCAGGUAGAGAAUACCAAGGCGCUUGAGAGAACUCGGGUGAAGGAACUAGGCAAAAUGGUGCCGUAACUUCGGGAGAAGGCACGCUGAUAUGUAGGUGAAGCGACUUGCUCGUGGAGCUGAAAUCAGUCGAAGAUACCAGCUGGCUGCAACUGUUUAUUAAAAACACAGCACUGUGCAAACACGAAAGUGGACGUAUACGGUGUGACGCCUGCCCGGUGCCGGAAGGUUAAUUGAUGGGGUUAGCGGUAACGCGAAGCUCUUGAUCGAAGCCCCGGUAAACGGCGGCCGUAACUAUAACGGUCCUAAGGUAGCGAAAUUCCUUGUCGGGUAAGUUCCGACCUGCACGAAUGGCGUAAUGAUGGCCAGGCUGUCUCCACCCGAGACUCAGUGAAAUUGAACUCGCUGUGAAGAUGCAGUGUACCCGCGGCAAGACGGAAAGACCCCGUGAACCUUUACUAUAGCUUGACACUGAACAUUGAGCCUUGAUGUGUAGGAUAGGUGGGAGGCUUUGAAGUGUGGACGCCAGUCUGCAUGGAGCCGACCUUGAAAUACCACCCUUUAAUGUUUGAUGUUCUAACGUGGGCCCCUUACCGGGGUUGCGGACAGUGUCUGGUGGGUAGUUUGACUGGGGCGGUCUCCUCCUAAAGAGUAACGGAGGAGCACGAAGGUUGGCUAAUCCUGGUCGGACAUCAGGAGGUUAGUGCAAUGGCAUAAGCCAGCUUGACUGCGAGCGUGACGGCGCGAGCAGGUGCGAAAGCAGGUCAUAGUGAUCCGGUGGUUCUGAAUGGAAGGGCCAUCGCUCAACGGAUAAAAGGUACUCCGGGGAUAACAGGCUGAUACCGCCCAAGAGUUCAUAUCGACGGCGGUGUUUGGCACCUCGAUGUCGGCUCAUCACAUCCUGGGGCUGAAGUAGGUCCCAAGGGUAUGGCUGUUCGCCAUUUAAAGUGGUACGCGAGCUGGGUUUAGAACGUCGUGAGACAGUUCGGUCCCUAUCUGCCGUGGGCGCUGGAGAACUGAGGGGGGCUGCUCCUAGUACGAGAGGACCGGAGUGGACGCAUCACUGGUGUUCGGGUUGUCAUGCCAAUGGCACUGCCCGGUAGCUAAAUGCGGAAGAGAUAAGUGCUGAAAGCAUCUAAGCACGAAACUUGCCCCGAGAUGAGUUCUCCCUGACUCCUUGAGAGUCCUGAAGGAACGUUGAAGACGACGACGUUGAUAGGCCGGGUGUGUAAGCGCAGCGAUGCGUUGAGCUAACCGGUACUAAUGAACCGUGAGGCUUAACCU
rnacentral:rRNA from 1 species